GGCCCCGUGGUCAAGCGGUUAAGACACCGCCCUUUCACGGCGGUAACCCGAGUUCGAUCCUCGGCGGGGUCACCA
rnacentral:tRNA from 1 species